CUAGCUUAUUAAGUUUGUUUAAUUAGAAAGAAAUUUAAAGUUAAGGUAAGAAUUCUUUAAUUUUCUAGGGGACGAUAAGACCCUAGAAGCUUGACAAACAGGGUUUUUUUUAGUUUUAGGUGGCAGUUUGUUUUACUGGGGCGGUAAAAAUAAUUAAGCUAUUUAUAAUUUAAAGGAUCCUUAAAAUAAAGAAAGAGUGGAGAAGUUACUCUAGGGAUAACAGUGCGAUAUUUUUGGAGAGAUCUUAUCGAUAAAUAUGUUUGCAACCUCGAUGUUGAAUUAAAAUGUCUUUAUGACGCAGGAGGUAUAUAAGAAGGUUUGUUCAACCUUUAAAUUUUUACAUGAU
rnacentral:rRNA from 1 species